rnacentral:lncRNA from 1 species
CUUGAUUCCUCCCAAUCAUUACUUCACAACUGCAAGGCAUAUAUGAAGCCAGAAAUUGAUAUAUUAAGGGAAGACAGAACACCUUAAGAACAAGGGUAUACUAGACUCCACAGACUCAACAGGCAUUCACCAAUGCAGUCAUCGUAUCACCACUUUCAAAUUUACAUAAAGAACACUACUGCAGAAGAACACUUGUAAUGCCACGCACCACGUGUGGAGGAUCAUUCUCUUUUACGGUCACUGAGUACAGCUUCUGGGAGAGCACAGAUCUCAAGCCUUUGAUCUUCCCACAAAUAAGAAGCAGACACUGUACACUCGGC